UUACCGAGGAGGGGGCUCUUGGGGUGACUGUGGACCUGCUGAAAGCGAUUGGAUGUAGCAACGAGGCGGAAACACUCGUCACAGAAGCCGGUGGAGGAAAUUAGACAUCUCACCUGGACAGUGAAAGACUUCACAGCAGCUGGAAAACUGUGUGAAAGGCUCUAGUAUUCACACACAAGCUCCAACUACAGAUUUAUUUCAAAACAAUUGACUUUAUAACUGUUGUGUCAUUAAAUUUUAAUCCUAAAGAAUUUCAUAAAAUAAAUAAAAUAAUUUCAGAGAAACUAAAAAGAUUUCAUUGCGGUUCAACAGGUCCUCCUUUUAGUCAUAGCUCAAUGUUUUCAGUUUUUAUUGUUGCCAAACUAGAUCGUCCAUCUGUUCAGAGGUAGCCUAUCAUAACAUUCUACACUCUUAUCAAGAAUGCAGACUUGGAAGCUUUCCCAAACCCUGCUUUGAGCCAAUAUAUACUUCAAAAUCCACAGUGGACUACCUCAGAGGUUUUAAGUUGAAGGUUUAACCUUGUCUCUCACUUCCCUGAGCAUAACAUUGUAGAAAAUCUGUUCCAAACAAAGCCACACGCAAGAUGGACUGAGAAUCAGAAACAGAAGAACGCAGAAGGAAGAAAUCCACAAAACAAGAACUAAAAGAGACUCAACUGCUAUAAAAAGGCUUUACAUUGCUGUCAUACUAAAGUGGUGCUUACAAGAACUGUGGGGUCCCUAAACAUCUACUUUGAGCCCUUUUUAUUAUUUUAAAACUGUAAAAGAUGGAAAUAAAGUAUUCUUGCUCAGAA